rnacentral:rRNA from 1 species
UACGUAGGGGGCAAGCGUUGUCCGGAUUUAUUGGGCGUAAAGAGCGUGUAGGCGGCCAGGUAGGUCUGCUGUGAAAACUCGAGGCUUAACCUCGAGCUGUCGGCGGAAACCAUCUGGCUAGAGUCCGGAAGAGGAGAAUGGAAUUUCCGGUGUAGCGGUGAAAUGCGUAGAUAUCGGAAGGAACACCAGUGGCGAAGGCGGCCGUCUGGGCCAAUACUGACACUGAGACACGAAAGCGUGGGUAGCAAACAGG